GAUAAACGCUGGCGGCGCACAUAAGACAUGCAAGUCGAACGGACUUAACUCGAAGUUUACUUUGAGAGCGGUUAGUGGCGGACUGGUGAGUAACGCGUGAGCAACCUGCCUAUUAGAGGGGAAUAACAGUGAGAAAUCACUGCUAAUACCGCAUAUGCUUACACUAUCACAUGAUAGAGUGAGGAAAGGAGCAAUCCACUAGUAGAUGGGCUCGCGUCUGAUUAGAUAGUUGGUGGGGUAACGGCCUACCAAGUCGACGAUCAGUAGCCGGACUGAGAGGUUGAACGGCCACAUUGGGACUGAGAUACGGCCCAG
rnacentral:rRNA from 1 species